GGCAGGGUCGCAUAGUUCGGCAUUGCGCUCGACUUAUGAUCGAGUGACCUUGACGGGUCUCAUGGGUUCAAAUCCCGUCCCUGCCG
rnacentral:tRNA from 1 species